CCCACCCAGCAUAGUGUUUUACCCCUCCCCCACCAGGAAACUAGCAGGUGUGAUCUGUGGAGUCUGGGAGUGAAAGCAGAGGAAAGGUUACAGGAUUAUUUGUGGUUUAUUUUAAAAAAUAGAGUAACUUCUGAAACAAGAAGAGACGAAGAAGCAUUCUGCUGUGCUGGACUUGUCUGUAUGCACUUUGGAACCAGAAAAUUCCUACUUCUCAGCAGAUGACUAUGAAAGUUUCACAAAACAGAUCUCUAAUCUAUUUAAAAAGGUGGAAAAAAAAAUAGACUUCAUGAAUUUGCGAGCAGAACAAGGCUAGGAGUAGUGAAACCUAUGAGACUGUUUGUUUAUUUCUAAUCUGGACUUCUAGCCCGAGAGUCUACUGAUGUUAUUGUCAAUGAUCUUUCAAAAGUAGUGUGCCAAAGAGAAUCUUGAUUAUUGAGGCUAAGGAUAUUUUAGACUUUAAAUACUCUGAGAACAGUCCAGAGACUGGAACAUACCAAAAAUUGUCGUUUCUUGUUCUCCUUGGGCUGCUUUUAUGUAUCUUGUUUGACUGAACAGAUUACA